AGCGAACGCUGGCGGCAGGCCUAACACAUGCAAGUCGAACGCACCUUCGGGUGAGUGGCGGACGGGUGAGUAACACGUGGGAACGUACCUUUUGGUUCGGAAUAACGCAGGGAAACUUGUGCUAAUACCGAAUGUGCCCUUCGGGGGAAAGGAUUUAUCGCCAUUAGAGCGGCCCGCGUUAGAUUAGCUAGUUGGUGAGG
rnacentral:rRNA from 1 species